ensembl:lncRNA
UAUGGGGUCCCAUUUUUUGGGUUCCCAUUUGGGGGUCUCCAAUGGGGGUCCCCAUUUUAGAGAUUCCAUUUGGGGGUUCCAUUUUGGGGGUCCCCUUUUUGGAGGUCUACAUUUGGGGUUCCCCUUUUUGGGUCUCUCUUUUAAGGGUUCCAUUCGGGGGCUCCCUAUUGGGGGUCUCCAUUUGGGGGUCUCCAUUUGGGGGUCUAUAACUGGGGCCCCCAUUUUAGAGAUUCCAUUUGGGGGUCCCUAUUUGGAGGUUCCAUUUUGGGUGUCCCCUUUUGGGGUCUCCAUUUGAGUUCUCUACUUUUGGGGUCCCAUUUUUAAGGUCCCAUCUUGGGUUCUCCAAUUGGGGGUUCUCUAUUUUAGGGGUCCCCUUUUAGGGGUCCCCAUUUGAGGGAUCCCAUUUUUGGAGGUCUACACUUGGGAGUUCCAUUUUGCUGCCCCCUUUUGAGGUCUCCAUUUUGGGGGUGCCAUUUUUGGAGGGCUACACUUGGGGGUCCCCUUUUCGGGGGCUCUUUUUUAAGGGUUCCAUUUUGGGGUUCCCUUUUGGGGGGUCUUCAUUUGGGGGUCUAUAACUGGAGUCCCCAUUUUAGAGAUUCCAUUUGGGGGGUCCCAUUGUUGGAGGUCUGCAUUUGGGAGUCCAUUUUUGGAGUUCCUACUUUUGGGGGUCCCAUUUUGGAGUCUCCAGUUGGGGGUUCUCUUUUUUAGGGGUCCCAUUUUGGGGGUCUCUUUUUUAGAGGUUCCAUUUGGGGCUCUCCAUUUGAGGUCCCCAUUUGGAGGUCCCAUUUAGAAGUCUCUAUUUUGGGGUCCCAUUUGGGAGGGGUCCAUGUGGUGGUCUCUAUUUGGGGGGUCCCAUUUGGGGAUCUCUAUUUUGAGGGGACCCAUUUGUGGGUCUCUAUUUUGAGGUCCCAUUUGGGGGUCUCUAUUUGGGGGGGUCCCAUUUGGGAGCCUCUAUUUUGAGGGCUCCCAUUUGGGGGUCUCUCUUUGGUGGGGCUCCCAUUUGGAGGUCUCUAUUUUGGGAGGUUCCACUUGGGGGUCUCUAUUUUGGGGGUCUCAAUUUGGGGUUCUCUAUUUGGGGGGUCCCAAUUGGGGCUCCCAUUUGGAGGUCUCUAUUUUGGGAGGUUCCACUUGGGGGUCUCUAUUUUGGGGGUCUCCAUUUGGGGGUCUCUAUUUUGGGGGGGUCUCUACUUGGGGGUCCCAUUUCAGGGCUUCCACGCGGGGUCCCCACGUUGCGGGUUCACUCGGUCCCGGAGCCGCAGAGCUCGGCGGGGCCUGCAGAGCUCCCCGCGUGCAGCCGCUGCCCCCAGCUCCUCCAGCAGCGGCACUGGCGGCGCCGGACGGGACCGCGCUGUGCGCGGAGCGGGAACCCCCAGCCCCGGGCAGCCCGUCCCAGCGCUCCGCCAGCCCCGCCGAGAACGAGCUCCUCUCCGGCGGCUCGCGCCCCGACCCGCGCCGCCNCUCUCUCCUUCUUCCUCCUUUUCCCCCUCUCCUUCUUUCCUCCCUCCUUCUCUGCCUCCUGUUCUUCCCCUACCCUUUUCCUUCCCUCCUUCUCCCUCCUGUCCUCCCCCACCCUUCUCUCUCUCCUUCCUCCUCCCCCACCCUUCUCUCCCCCAUCCUUCUCCCUCUCACAUUCUCCCUCCCAUCCUUCCCUCAUCCCUCCUUCUCUCCCACCCUUCUCCCUCUCUCCCUUCUCCCUCCUGUCCUCCUCCUUCCCUUCCUCCUUCUCCCUCUCUCCUUCUUUCUCCUUCUCCCCUCCUUCUUCUUUCCUCCCUCCUUCUCUGCCUCCCGAGCAGCUGCGUUCAUUACCGUGCGCUCCGCCCCAAAGUCCCAGCCCCUGGGCGUGCGCGGCGCCCCCUGGUGGCCGCCCGGGGGUGGUGCGGGUGCAGCCCGCGCCUUUUCCUCGCCGUGCGCCCUCGGCCUUGGCGCGGUUGAGGAGGGGGAUCCGGCUUCGGCUGCUUUUCUUCCAACGACCUGGCAACCGGCAGCUUCUAGGUUUCCCUGCCCCGUGAACCCGCAUCCGUCUUUUCUUGUUUCGUUUCCAACCGGAUUUGACCCUUUCCUCCCUCGGUGCCACAAACGGGCCCCGCGGCUCCGUGCCAGCGGAUGCUGCCUUAGCGCCCGCGUGUCCGUCCCGGGCGGAGCAGAGCGACGGACGCGACGGGGACAAAGGCGGAACCGGGCCGCACCGCAGCGAACUCUGAAUCCAGGGCAGCGAGCGCGGGGAGCGGAGGCAGCGCCCACUGGGGCCGAGCGCUGCGAGGAACCGAGGGGAACGCGAACCCCGAGCGGCUCCGCCGAUGGGGNGACACAGAGCUCUUGGAAGGAGCUCAGAGGAGGGCAGCCAAGAUGAGCAGAGGAUGGAGCUCCUUGCUAUGGAGAAAGGCUGAGGGAACGGGGCUUGUUCAGCUUGGAGAAGUCUCCGGGGAGACCUCAUUGUGGCCUUCCAGUACUUGAAGGGAGCAUAUCAACAGGAGGGGAACAAUUGUUUGUGAGGGUAGACAGCAACAGGACAAGGGGGAAUGGUUUUAAACUGAGACAGGGCAGGUUUAGGUUGGAUGUUAGAAGGAAAUUUUUCACUCCAAGGGUGGUGACGCAGUGGCACAGGUUGCCCAAGGAGGUGGUGGAUGCCCCGUCCCUGGAGGCAUUCAAGGCCAGGCUGGACGUGGCUCUGGGCAGCCUGGGCUGGUGGUUGGCGACCCUGCACUCAGCAGGGGAUUGAACCUCGAUGAUCUUUGAGGUCCUGUUCAACCCAGGCCAUUCUAUGAUUCUAUGAAACAGGGCAGGGGGGAGGCAAGGGGAAACAAGGGACAAGAGCUGCUGUGCUGUGCCCAUAGGGAGCUGCUGCUUGCAGGACGCCCGCCAUUGCAACUGCAAAUUAAAUCGGCUUGGAGCAGAGAUGCCGUCCGGAUCAAUCAUUGGGAUCUUUCCAGCAACGCCCAGCGGGCAGCACUUUCUGUUCAGGCGGUCUCCCAGUGCUGUGUGCAGCGUCGGGAGGAUGGUGAACCUGAGGCACUCAGCCCGUGAGGAAGCAGGGCAGGAAAAGAGCAGCGCGGGGUCACAGGGCCUGGAGAUGGAGCACUGCUCGCUGCAGCUGUGCCGCUCGCAACGGCGAA